AGUGGGGGAUAACGUAGCGAAAGUUACGCUAAUACCGCAUAUGCCCUGAGGGGGAAAGGUGGGGAUCGUAAGACCUAUCGCUUUCGGAGUGGCCGAUAUCAGAUUAGCUAGUUGGUGGGGUAAAGGCCUACCAAGGCGACGAUCUGUAGCUGGUCUGAGAGGACGACCAGCCACACUGGGACUGAGACACGGCCCAGACUCCUACGGGAGGCAGCAGUGGGGAAUUUUGGACAAUGGGGGCAACCCUGAUCCAGCCAUGCCGCGUGAGUGAAGAAGGCCUUCGGGUUGUAAAGCUCUUUCGGACGGAAAGAAAUCGCCAUUUCUAAUACAAGUGGUGGAUGACGGUACCGUCAUAAGAAGCACCGGCUAACUACGUGCCAGCAGCCGCGGUAAUACGUAGGGUGCGAGCGUUAAUCGGAAUUACUGGGCGUAAAGCGUGCGCAGGCGGUUUUGUAAGACAGGUGUGAAAUCCCCGGGCUUAACCUGGGAACUGCAUUUGUGACUGCAAGGCUAGAGUGUGGCAGAGGGGGGUAGAAUUCCA
rnacentral:rRNA from 1 species